UACGGAAGGCAGCAGUGGGGAAUAUUGCACAAUGGGCGCAAGCCUGAUGCAGCCAUGCCGCGUGUAUGAAGAAGGCCUUCGGGUUGUAAAGUACUUUCAGUCGUGAGGAAGGUGUUAAGGUUAAUAACCUUAGCAAUUGACGUUAGCGACAGAAGAAGCACCGGCUAACUCCGUGCCAGCAGCCGCGGUAAUACGGAGGGUGCGAGCGUUAAUCGGAAUUACUGGGCGUAAAGGGCACGCAGGCGGUUAAUUAAGUUGGAUGUGAAAUCCCCGGGCUUAACCUGGGAAUGGCAUUCAAGCUGGUUAGCUAGAGUCUUGUAGAGGGGGUAGAAUUCCGAUGUGUAGCGGUGAAAUGCGUAGAGAUGUGGAGGAAUACCGGUGGCGAAGGCGGCCCCUGGGACAAAGACUGACGCUCAUGUGCGAGGCGUGGGGAGCGAAAC
rnacentral:rRNA from 1 species